GGAGCUUGCGGCUUAAUUUGACUCAACACGGGAAAACUUACCAGGUCCGAACUUAUUGAGGUAAGACAGAUUGAUAGCUCUUUCUCAAACUUAAGGGUAGUGGUGCAUGGCCGUUCUUAGUUCGUGGAAUGAUUUGUCUGGUUAAUUCCGAUAACGAACGCGACUCAGUCAAGCUAACUAGAACGCUGUCAGUAGUGUGCCUCCGGGCGCACCUGACGUUAGGAGUGGCGGGUGUCCUCACGGGUGCCCGUCACUUAGUUUGCCCUGCUUAGCGGGACAACUUGUGUUUAGCAAGAUGAGAUUGAGCGAUAACAGGUCCGUGAUGCCCUUUAGAUGUUCUGGGCUGCACGCGUGCUAC
rnacentral:rRNA from 1 species